GACAGAGGUCUCGAGCGUUAGGCGGAAUCACUGGGCUUAAAGCGUGUGUAGGUGGAUGCCUAAGUACCUUGUGAAAUCCCACGGCUUAACCGUGGAACUGCUUGGUAUACUGGGUGUCUUGAGCCAGCUAGGGGCUACCGGAACAAAUGGUGGAGCGGUGAAAUGCGUAGAUAUCAUUUGGAACGCCAAUGGUGAAAACAGGUAGCUGGGGCUGUGCUGACACUGAGACACGAAAGCCAGGGGAGCGAACGGG
rnacentral:rRNA from 1 species